CAAAAGUCCUAGGUUUUUGUUUUCUUCCCAAGAUUGAUUUCCUACCAGUUACGUCUACUAUUUCCCAUCCUCUCUGGCAAAAUUGCAAGGAGUGGCAUCAGCACAUCUUUGUACAGUAGGCGAAUAUAUUUGGAAUGCUUAUUUCUGAGAGCUGUUGAAGACGGCUAACAAUUUUACCCCACGCAGAAGGACUGACAAUAAAUUUAGGAGUGGCAAAUGGAACCACUGUUCUGUUUCCCUCUCAGUAAAUAAAUAACUGCAAAACCUGUACUCCAAUACCAGAGCGUCAAAUCCAUGGCGCUCUGUUGAUUAACACCGAAAAUGUCUUUGUGAAGAUGAUGCAUUUAGAAGAGUCCUAAGGCUCGCACCAGAAGCUGACACUGAAGGUUUAUUUUAAUGUAGCACAAAUCAGAGCGAACGACGUGAAAAGAGUUCUGUUUCUCCUGGAAGGAUGCCACUUGUUUCUACUCCAGGGGAAAUGUCUUCCAAGCUCUUUACCAAAUCUGCAAGCUGAACCAACUCAACUGUGGCUGCCUUGCCCACCUGAAGACCUCAGGAUCCACCAGCAGCCCAAGACACCUCGGAAGCUGUUUCAAGCACCAUGGAAAACCCACACACAAGUGAAGCCCCGACCCACCUCCCAAGUGCCCAUCUGAGCACCCCUCGUGGACUCUGAGCAGGGGGUUGCCAUCACCAACUCCAAGUCUUGCAGCCCCUCUUCCCUUCAGUCUGGCUGCCACCUUCUUCAUUGCCCUGGAAAAAAAUAAUGAAGUUUCACCAUUUAAAGGGUUUCAGUGCAGCUUGCUAUGGGAACACUGGAGAGUAACACAAAUGGCCAAUUGUCCUAAUAGCCACCAUGGAUUGGAUGGAUGCUAACAACAGGCUCACAGUUCUCCUUCUGUUGCCUCCUUUUAUCCACAUGAGAAUCAAACAAGUAGGUGCUGCUGGUAUUACUGUAUUUUUCUCAUUUUAAAGAUCAGGAUGGGGAGGGUUGAGGAGGUUAAGGAAGUUGUUAGAAGUUACACUGAAGUUAAGAAAGGAAAAAGGACUUAGAAACUUAUUCUUCCAACUUUAGAACCACGGUCAGUGACCAAGGCCCUGCUUAGAACUUUCUGAAGGUUGCAGCUGGCCUUCUACCUGGAGUUUUGACUUCCUUUCCGAGAAAGGAACUUGAAUGGCAAUCACAAGAAAGUUGAGAACUUCUCUUUCAUAUUUUAA
rnacentral:lncRNA from 10 species